CCUACGGGAGGCUGCAGUGGGGGAUAUUGCACAAUGGGGGGAACCCUGAUGCAGCGACGCCGCGUGGGUGAAGAAGCGCCUCGGCGCGUAAAGCCCUGUCAGCAGGGAAGAAAAUGACGGUAUCUGAAGAAGAAGCCCCGGCUAACUACGUGCCAGCAGCCGCGGUAAUACGUAGGGGGCAAGCGUUAUCCGGAUUUGCUGGGUGGAAAGGGGGCGCAGACGGCGAUGCAAGCCAGGAGUGAAAGCCCGGGGCCCAACCCCGGGACUGCUCUUGGAACUGCGUGGCUGGAGUGCAGGAGGGGCAGGCGGAAUUCCUGGUGUAGCGGUGAAAUGCGUAGAUAUCAGGAGGAACACCGGUGGCGAAGGCGGCCUGCUGGACUGCAACUGACGUUGAGGCCCGAAAGCGUGGGGAGCAAACAGGAUUAGAUACCCUUGUAGUC
rnacentral:rRNA from 1 species